rnacentral:rRNA from 1 species
ACGGAGGGUGCGAGCGUUAAUCGGAAUUACUGGGCGUAAAGGGUUCGUAGGUGGUUAGAUAAGUCAGAUGUGAAAUACCUGGGCUCAACCUGGGAGGUGCAUAUGAAACUGUUUGACUGGAGUUUACUAGAGGAUUGGGGAAUUUCCGGUGUAGCGGUGAAAUGCGUAGAGAUCGGAAGGAACAUCAAUGGCGAAGGCAACAAUCUGGGGUUAAACUGACACUGAGGGACGAAAGCGUGGGUAGCAAACAGG